rnacentral:rRNA from 1 species
UACGAAGGGGGCUAGCGUUGCUCGGAAUCACUGGGCGUAAAGGGCGCGUAGGUGGUUCUGUAUGUCUACCGUGAAAGCGUACGGCUCAACCGUAUUUUGUCGGUAGAAACUGCAGGACUUGAGGCUGGGAGGGGCUGGUGGAAUUCCCUGUGUAGCGGUGAAAUGCGUAGAGAUGGGGGGAGAACACUCGUGGCGAAGGCGGCCAGCUAGACCAGUUCUGACACUGAGGCGCGACAGCGUGGGGAGCAAACAGG